rnacentral:rRNA from 1 species
CUAGUGACCGAUAGUGAACCAGUACCGUGAGGGAAAGGUGAAAAGCACCCCGGAAGGGGAGUGAAAUAGAACCUGAAACCGUGUGCUUACAAGUAGUCAGAGCCCGUUAAUGGGUGAUGGCGUGCCUUUUGUAGAAUGAACCGGCGAGUUACGAUUUGAUGCAAGGUUAAGCAGUAAAUGUGGAGCCGUAGCGAAAGCGAGUCUGAAUAGGGCGUUUAGUAUUUGGUCGUAGACCCGAAACCAGGUGAUCUACCCUUGGUCAGGUUGAAGUUCAGGUAACACUGAAUGGAGGACCGAACCGACUUACGUUGAAAAGUGAGCGGAUGAACUGAGGGUAGCGGAGAAAUUCCAAUCGAACCUGGAGAUAGCUGGUUCUCUCCGAAAUAGCUUUAGGGCUAGCCUCAAGUGAUGAUUAUUGGAGGUAGAGCACUGUUUGGACGAGGGGCCCCUCUCGGGUUACCGAAUUCAGACAAACUCCGAAUGCCAAUUAAUUUAACUUGGGAGUCAGAACAUGGGUGAUAAGGUCCGUGUUCGAAAGGGAAACAGCCCAGACCACCAGCUAAGGUCCCAAAAUAUAUGUUAAGUGGAAAAGGAUGUGGCGUUGCCCAGACAACUAGGAUGUUGGCUUAGAAGCAGCCAUCAUUUAAAGAGUGCGUAAUAGCUCACUAGUCGAGUGACACUGCGCCGAAAAUGUACCGGGGCUAAACAUAUUACCGAAGCUGUGGAUUGUCCUUUGGACAAUGGUAGGAGAGCGUUCUAAGGGCGUUGAAGCAUGAUCGUAAGGACAUGUGGAGCGCUUAGAAGUGAGAAUGCCGGUGUGAGUAGCGAAAGACGGGUGAGAAUCCCGUCCACCGAUUGACUAAGGUUUCCAGAGGAAGGCUCGUCCGCUCUGGGUUAGUCGGGUCCUAAGCUGAGGCCGACAGGCGUAGGCGAUGGAUAACAGGUUGAUAUUCCUGUACCACCUAUAAUCGUUUUA